rnacentral:misc_RNA from 1 species
GAUGAAGAACGUAGCGAAAUGCGAUAAGUAAUGUGAAUUGCAGAAUUCAGUGAAUCAUCGAAUCUUUGAACGCACCUUGCACCCUUUGGUAUUCCGAAGGGUAUGCUCGUUUGAGUGUCAUUGUACUCUCACACUUCUAAUUCCUUUCGGGAUUGGGAGCGGUGGACUUGGGUGUUGCUGCUUUAGUUGUGGCUCACCUCAAAUAAGUUAGUGCAACUCUUGGUUGGACAUAGUACGGCGUGAUAAGUGUCUUCGCCGGCGCCUCUGUAAGGAGGGUGGCCGAUCGGGAGCUCUGUGCUUCAAACCGUCUUCGGACAAUCUCUGACAACUUGACCUCAAAUCGAGUAGGACUACCCGCUGAACUUAAGCAUAUCAAUAAGCGGAGGA